UACGUAGGGUGCGAGCGUUGUCCGGAAUUAUUGGGCGUAAAGAGCUCGUAGGCGGUCUGUCGCGUCUGCUGUGAAAACCCGAGGCUCAACCUCGGGCCUGCAGUGGGUACGGGCAGACUAGAGUGCGGUAGGGGAGAAUGGAAUUCCUGGUGUAGCGGUGGAAUGCGCAGAUAUCAGGAGGAACACCGAUGGCGAAGGCAGUUCUCUGGGCCGUAACUGACGCUGAGGAGCGAAAGCGUGGGGAG
rnacentral:rRNA from 1 species